AUACGUAGGGGCCAAACGUUGUCCGGAUUUAUUGGGCGUAAAGGGCUCGUAGGCGGUUCAACAAGUCGGUCGUGAAAACCCGGGGCUCAACCCCGGGACGCCGGUCGAAACUGUUGUGACUAGGGUCCGGUAGAGGUGAGUGGAAUUCUCGGUGUGGCGGUGGAAUGCGCAGAUAUCGAGAGGAACACCAGUAGCGAAGGCGGCUCACUGGGCCGGUACCGACGCUGAGGAGCGAAAGCAUGGGGAGCAAACAGGAUUAGAAACCCUAGUAGUCC
rnacentral:rRNA from 1 species